AUUGAACGCUAGCGGGAUGCUUUACACAUGCAAGUCGAACGAGUGGCGGACGGGUGCGUAAUAUAUCGGCACGUGCCCAGUAGCGGGGGAUAACUACUCGAAAGAGUGGCUAAUCCCGCAUACUAUUGGAGCGGCCGAUAUCGGAUUAGCUAGUUGGUGGGGUAAAGGCUCACCAAGGCAACGAUCCGUAGCUGGUUUGAGAGGACGACCAGCCACACUGGGACUUGGACACGGUCCAUACUCCUACGGGAGGCAGCAGUGGUGAAUUUUGGACAAUGGGGGAAACCCUGAUCCAGCCAUCCCGCGUGUAUGAGAAGGCCUUCGGGUUGUAAAGUACUUUUGGCAGAGAAGCGGUAUCUGCAGAAUACGCACCGGCUAACUACGUGUCGACAGCCGCGGUAAUAC
rnacentral:rRNA from 1 species